rnacentral:tRNA from 1 species
AGCAGAGUGGCUUCGUGGAAAGAGCCUGGGCUUGGGAGUCAGAAGUCAUGGAUUCUAAUCCCAACUCUGCCA